rnacentral:piRNA from 1 species
GUGUAUCAUUAGGGGUGGACUUUGG